AGGACGUAGCUAAAAUAGUAAAGCAUCUCA
rnacentral:tRNA from 3 species